rnacentral:rRNA from 1 species
UGCUACCUGGUGAUCCUGCC